UGGGGAAUAUUGCACAACGGGCGAAAGCCUGACGCAGCAACGCCGCGUGCGGGAUGAAGGCCUUCGGGUUGUAAACCGCUUUCAGCAGGGAUGAAACUGACAGUACCUGCAGAAGAAGCCCCGGCUAACUACGUGCCAGCAGCCGCGGUAAUACGUAGGGGGCAAGCGUUAUCCGGAUUCAUUGGGCGUAAAGAGCGCGGAGGCGGCUUGUUAAGCGAGAUGUGAAAACCGGGGGCUUAACCCGCGGCCUGCAUCUCGAACUGGCAGGCUUGAGUCUGGUAGCGGAGUGUGGAAGUCCCAGUGUAGCGGUGAAAUGCGCAGAUAUUGGGAGGAACACCAGUGGCGAAGGCGGCACUCUGGGCCACGACUGACGCUGAGGCGCGAAAGCUAGGGGAGCAAACA
rnacentral:rRNA from 1 species